rnacentral:tRNA from 1 species
AGAGAUUUAAGUUAAUAGACUAAAGGCCUUCAAAGCC